rnacentral:rRNA from 1 species
GGCUAACCUGCCCUUGGGACAAGAACACCCCCGGGAAACUGGGGCUAAUUCUCGAUAGGUGAAGAACUCUGGAAUGAGUCUUCGCCCAAAAGACGUUGGGGUUAUGCUCUCCAGCGCCGCCCAAGGAUGGGGCCGCGGCCGAUCAGGUUGUUGGUGAGGUAAUGGCUCACCAAGCCUUUUACCGGUGCGGGCCGUGGGAGCGGGAGCCCGGAGAUGGGCACUGAGACAAGGGCCCAGGCCCUACGGGGCGCAGCAGUCGCGAAAACUUUGCAAUAAGCGAAAGCUUGACAGGGCUAUCCCGAGUGCCAUCCGCUGAGGAAGGCUUUUACCCAGUCUAGAACGCUGGGGGAAUAAGGAGAGGGCAAGUCUGGUGUCAGCCGCCGCGGUAAUACCAGCUCUCCGAGUGGUGUGGAUGUUUAUUGGGCCUAAAGCAUCCGUAGCUGGCUAGGUUAGUCCCCUGUUAAAUCCACCGAAUUAAUCGUUGGAUUGCGGGGGAUACUGCUUGGCUAGGGGACGAGAGAGGCAGACGGUAUUUCCGGGGUAGGGGUGAAAUCCCAUAAUCCCGGGAAGACCACCAGUGGCGAAGGCUGUCUGCUAGAACGCGCCCGACGGUGAGGGAUGAAAGCUGGGGGAGCGAACCGGAUUAGAUACCCGGGUAGUCCCAGCUGUAAACGAUGCAGACUAGGUGUUUGGACGGCCACGUGCCGUUCUAGUGCCGCAGGGAAGCUGUUAAGUCUGCCGCCUGGGGAGUACGAUCGCAAGAUUGAAACU